rnacentral:tRNA from 1 species
UAAGAUGGCUGAGUGUAAGCGGUGGAUUGUAGACCCAUGAACGGGGGCUCGAACCCCCUCUUGC